rnacentral:lncRNA from 1 species
CCAGCAUUUGAACGAUCUGCAUUGUUCUCUAUAUUCAGUAGAGAACCUUGCAUAUAAGGGGACAAAAAAUUAAAAAUAAUAAAAAUAAUAAGACGAAAACACAAACCCCAUCGGACAUGAUGGCUCGCCUGGUCAUUGUUCUUGCUCUCAUUUUUGUAGCCAUUAUCAGUGUGGCCUCAGCCCAGCAGGAACCCAUUAUUCAGCCACAACCCAAUGAACCCCAUCAGCCUAAUCAGCCGCAGGAACCCAAUCAGCCACAGCAGCCUAAUCAGCCCCAGGAACCCAAGCAGCCUGAUCAGCCACAGACACAGCCACCUACCCAGCAACCACAGCAGCCUGAUCAGCCACAGACACAGCCACCUACCCAGCAGCCCCAGCAGCCUCAGCAGCCAAAUCAGGCACCCGGUGAGGCACCAACACAGGCACCUCCAGCCGGUGGUGCACCCGCACCGGCACCCGGAGAAGCCCCAGCAGGAGGCCCAAGCAGUGGACCAGCUGCUGGACCUGGACCUGCAGAAGGCCCCUCUGGCGAGGCUAAGUUGCCUGAGGUUGCAAUGCCAGGACCAGUGGGCGAGGGAGAUGAGAACAAGUCGGAAGGGAGUGGUGCAAGCUCCCUCAAAGUCUCCGCCCUCGUCGCUGGUGUUGCAGUCGCUGCUGCUUUCUUCUACUAAUCAUGAGCAAAUUAGCUACGUCUACAAAACCACGUACCCGAUUGACUAACAUUCAUCGGUUGUCUAGAGCAAAGCUCAUUUGAUAUAUGGAUUUGUUUGUCAAUAAAAUUCGAGGUUUUACGUAUCAUGAUGAGUUUUAAAAUAUUGUGGAUUGGAGAUAUUUGGAUCUAUCAUUGAAUAAUUUCUAAGUUUGACCAAUUUUUAUCAUCAUAUGUGCCUGUGGGUGCCUCUUCCGAGUUGAGGCUCGUAUAUAAAAAUAUUAUCCAUUAUUUACGUCCUGCAGGCUGCAUGCCGGCUGAUCGAUGCAUGUCUUUAUCUUUGGUCAAAUUGCCUUUUGUUCUUUAUGGAAUAGGGUGGUGCUUAUUCCUGAAGAAAUGAAAUUGCUCGCAUUCAAUCACAAUAUUGUCACGAUUUGCUUUAAUUUAAAGAUUUUAUUAAUCCCGCGUAUUUAAAUAAAUAAUAUCCUGG